rnacentral:tRNA from 1 species
CAGGGAGACAACAAAAUGUUAAAUAUUAAUUUUGUCACCUUAGGUCGAUCGGUAUCUCGCAUUCUUAUUUAAUUAAGGAUUUCAUUCCCUAAGUUUUUUCUAGGUCACACCCAUUACUUUUCCUGGGCCAUUAGCUCAGGUGGUUAGAGCGCACCCCUGAUAAGGGUGAGGUCCCUGGUUCAAGUCCAGGAUGGCCCAUAUCUCUAUGUUGGGGGUAUAGCUCAGUUGGUAGAGCGCCUGCUUUGCAAGCAGGAUGUCAGCGGUUCGAGUCCGCUUACCUCCACUGAUCACCACCUCUUACAUAUUUUUAAGGGGAAGGUUUUGAGUUGUGAUCAAAUUCUGAACGAAUCUAGCUUCCUAAUAAAAACUAUUAAGAUGCUGGACUCAUUGAAUUAAUUUCAUUGUUUUCAGAGAACCUUGACAACUGCAUAGAUUAUUUUAAAGACAAUAAGCAUCUUUAAUGAUGCAGAUUUGUUAUUUGUGCGAAUGCAUUAAAUAACAAUUCUAUUAAGCUGAUGCUUCAAUUUUGAAGUUAUU